GGGGAUUUAGCUCAGUGGUAGAGCGUUUGCCUAGCAAGCGAAAGGCCCUGGGUUCGGUCCCCAGCUCUG
rnacentral:tRNA from 1 species